rnacentral:rRNA from 1 species
CCUACGGGGGGCAGCAGUGGGGAAUUUUGGACAAUGGGCGAAAGCCUGAUCCAGCAAUGCCGCGUGUGUGAUGAAGGCCUUCGGGUUGUAAAGCACUUUUGGCGGGAACGAAAAGGACUGUGCCAAUACCACGGUUCGAUGACGGUACCCGCAGAAUAAGCACCGGCUAACUACGUGCCAGCAGCCGCGGUAAUACGUAGGGUGCAAGCGUUAAUCGGAAUUACUGGGCGUAAAGAGUGCGCAGGCGGUUUUGCAAGACCGAUGUGAAAUCCCCGGGCUUAACCUGGGAACUGCAUUGGUGACUGCAAGGCUAGAGUGUGUCAGAGGGAGGUGGAAUUCCGCAUGUAGCAGUGAAAUGCGUAGAUAUGCGGAGGAACACCGAUGGCGAAGGCAGCCUCCUGGGAUAACACUGACGCUCAUGCACGAAAGCGUGGGGAGCAAACAGGAUUAGAUACCCGAGUAGUC